rnacentral:rRNA from 1 species
CCCUUAGAUGUCCGGGGCCGCACGCGCGCUACACUGAAGGAAUCAGCGUGGCUUUCUCCCUGACCCGAAAGGGUUGGGAAACCCGUUGAAUCUCCUUCGUGAUAGGGAUUGGGGCUUGAAAUUGUUCCCCAUGAACGAGGGAUUCCCAGUAAGCGCGAGUCAUAAGCUCGCGUUGAUUACGUCCCUGCCCUUUGUACACACCGCCCGUCGCUACUACCGAUUGAACGGUUUAGUGAGGGCCUCGGAUUGGUCUCGGCCCGCUCUUUACCGGGCGGCGCCGUUGGUCGAGAAGACGCUCGAACUUGAUCGUUUAGAGGAAGUAAAAGUCGUAACA